AUGGCUAUUAUUUCUCAUCCAAGAAUAUCAUCUUACAAUAAAGAGCGUGGUUUAGUAUUGAUAUGCAAGGCUUUCUACAACAUCAUACACAUAAUGGAUAUGGUUUUAUUUUAUAAUGGAAGGAAUAGUCCCGAGUUGCUGCAGGCAUACGACCUAGCACUUGGGGGCUACAUUAUUCAAAUCAUGAUUAUAUCAAGUAUGCAAGUCCCAUGUCGCUGCAAGCAUGCACCAUGGCACUUGGGGGCUAAUGCAAGUCGCUUUUCAAGUCAUCACAUUAUUCAAAUCAUCGGGUUAUCUUCGGAAGAUGAGCCAACCUUCUAUCUUUUUCUAAGUCCCAACUCAUUAUUGUCUUACUGA
rnacentral:rRNA from 1 species